rnacentral:tRNA from 1 species
GGCCUAUUAGCUCAGUUGGUUAGAGCGUCGUGCUGAUAACGCGAAGGUCGCAAGUUCGGGACCUGCAUGGGUUA